AUUGAACGCUGGCGGCGUGCUUAACACAUGCAAGUCGAACGAAGUGGCGAACGGGUGAGUAACGCGUAAUCAACCUGCCCUUCAGAGGGGGACAACAGUUGGAAACGCCUGCUAAUACCGAAUACUGAAGGAGGGGAUUGCGUCUGAUUAGAUAGUUGGAGGGGUAACGGCCCACCAAGGCGAUGGUCAGUAGCCGGUCUGAGGGGAUGAACGGACACAUUGGGACUGAGACACGGCCCAGACUCCUACGGGAGGCAGCAGUGGGGAAUCUGCCGCAAUGGACGAAAGUCGUACGGAGCAACGCCGCGUGAGUGAUGACGGCCUUCGGGUUGUAAAGCUCUGUUAAUCGGGACGCGGUACCGGAAUAGAAAGCCACGGCUAACUACGUGCCAGCCGCCGCGGUAAUUC
rnacentral:rRNA from 1 species